rnacentral:lncRNA from 12 species
UACAUUUAAGACUGAAAUUAAAAACAAACUUUUCAUGUUUCUCCUUUAUUUUAGGUAAGAUAAUCUAAGUUUUUAUUUUAGGAGGGAGUUGAUAUGUCCAAAACUGGCUGAUGCCCCUCUCUUCUCAGCACUUUGCAAAGUGUCAUCCAAAUUUUCGAAGUACUUUGAGGAGUCAACUCACAGCUUGACUUAGCCUUGGAGAACUCGUCAGACCUAUUUGGAAUGGAGGAUUGACAGUUAAACAUCUGUUGGUCUCUAAAAGGGAAUAUCUCCCCAACUAUCUUUGGAGUUUCUCUGGAGAAAUAACAGGACUUAUGGGGAUGAGCCUUUGAAAAGAGAUGCUGUUUCUCCUAAAGUCAACGGACAGGUCUGCUUUGAAUCAUCAAUUACUGUCAAAAAUAGAUUUGGACAUUAGUGUUCAAAAUGCUCUACUCACUUCAGCCUUUUCCUCAACCAGAGUGAUCAUCACCCUUCCGGGUUUAUGGUGAAUUUGAACCCACAGAUGAUUCUGCAUUUCAGCUUCUUGGACCACUCCUUUGUAGUUCUUGUCCUUAUUUCUUUUAAGCCAUACUUAAAAUAUCAAGAUCCUCCAAUGUAGAUUUGGAGUUAAUCUGAUUAACUGAAGUUAAUCUACUGAGGCAAGGUCAGAAGAAAUGCUUUACGGACUUUUUGAAGCACGCCCCCACAUGUGACAUGAUUGGAGGGUUACUGGGAAACCAUGCUGUGGAAUGCUCAUCCUGAUGCCAAAUAAGUAUUUAUAUCAAGAGACGAGAUUGUAAGCAAAAGCCUCUGUACAAAAGAUCUUGUUAGCUACACACUAGAAGGGCUUUGUCUUUACCCAACACUGAGAAAACACUUUGAGUCUUUUUCAGAUAAAACUAUUUCAGGUAAAACUAAACCUACUUCCUAACAUAAAAGACUAGAAGUUAUGGAGACCUUUCAUGUCUCCAUGUUAUAAAUAUCAGUUACUUCUAAAGUUACAAGAGACAGUUUUUCUUUUAUAAACCACAAAGCCGCAAUAUAAAAUGAGCUGGGAGGUGGUUAAGAAUAAAAGGUAAAUUAACUUGUCA